AAGUCGUAACAAGGUUUCCGUAGGUGAACCUGCGGAAGGAUCAUUUCCAAAAAAAAAAAUGAACAUUUAUAUACACCGUAUUUGGUGUGUGAAGUGUGUGGUGGUAUCCAAAACAUUUUAAUUUACUCUCUCUGACAACGUGGUCAUCGCGUAUGCCAAGUUUGGAAGAGAGAGGCCUUGAUGAACCACAUCCGCAAAUGUAUUGGCGUUUGUUUGUCUAAACAAACAACACUAUACAUCAUCGGACGUUAACAUUAUACUGUCUCGAUAUAUUUCUACUCGGAUUUGCACUUGUUGCCCUAAGGCACCAGGUCAAAACCAACAACACAAAAGUACCAAUAUACAGACAACUUUUAACGGUGGAUCUCUUGGCUCGU
rnacentral:misc_RNA from 1 species